UUUUUAUUUCAGAAAAAAGUAGUUUCUGGUACAAAAGAUGACAAAGCAGCUCCAAAAGAUAGUGGCAAUACUCAAAAAGGUGGCGGAAAAAAAGGUGGAAAGAAGUGAUUGAUAAAUUACAAGAUGUUAAACCUUACAAAGAUACUUCACCUUUGGAACAACAAUUUGUAUUCAUUCAAAUAAAGUUAUAACUUCAUAAAUUAA
rnacentral:lncRNA from 1 species